GUCCCCAUCGUCUAGAGGCCUAGGACAUCGCCCUUUCACGGCGGUAACAGGGGUUCGAAUCCCCUUGGGGACGCCA
rnacentral:tRNA from 79 species